UUAAUUUCCUGUUUCGAAAUCCUUUAGAGCUGCCAGGAAGGAAAUACUAAUGCAUAUCUCUGAAUUUUCAUUUAAAUAUUUAGAGGAUUAAAAGUCAUAUUGAUAUAACUGGACCAAGGAUUUAGUAGGUUUCUGUGUGAUAUUAUGCCCUAUUAAUUCCCUUGUGCCUAAGUCAUUAGACAAUCGUUAGACAAUCAAUGAAUCUUUAUAAAAAAAGCAGUUGGACCCUUACCAAUUCUGCAAAUAGUAAGACAAGUUUAUCUAUAUUGCAGGUGAAUCACUAGUAUACUCAGUAAAGAGGUACUGCUUUAUAACAUCUUUCAAACAAGCAGAAAGACUAACCUAAGACACCGUAGGAUAUGAGUAACAAGUCCUGGUAGUCCAACCCCCUGACUAAAGCCUGCAUCACCAUCAUGGCAUUAAUUAUUUCAUCAUACAUGAAUAUUAACCAAAAACAGGUCAGUUGCUUAGUAGAUGUAAUAUAAAUCUCUGGUGGUGGGAGCCAGAGCUGCUGAAAGAAAAACCAAAGGAGCCAGUGUUAGAUUCCUACAGCAGAUUUCCUUCGUACAUGAAUGCAUUUCUAGGGUCUUUGUUUCAAAGUAUUUGUGUGUGGAGUGCCUGGUGAUGACAUCCAGUAAAACCACUACACUUGGUAUAAAGCAUCUAAUUUGCCAGAAAACGCCUUCUCAAAGAGGAAUUAAAAUGCUCGCUUGCCUAACGGAGGCAUAGGAAGGGGAAGUGGCUCUUUCAAGUCACCCAGCAGGGGAUUACCACACUGUCACCCACAGGAAAUACGGAUGGCAAAAGCCUGGGAGAGAGUACGAAGGAGCUGAAGAAACACCUACAUUCGGUUCUGGAAGAGGAGGGCUGUGGGCUGAGAGCAAAAGAUGAGAUUAAAGUGGAUGGAAAUAAAGAGCAGACAGGUCAAGUCAGAUGCCUUAUUCCUAAACAUUUCUCAUCCCCAACACUUUUUAGACAAACUGGUAAUUAAGCUUUAAACCGCUUUAGAUUCCUUAUUCUUUCUGUGUCUAGGGGAAGACUUUAUUUGUUUUAAAAGCUGAUGGACAAUAAACCCUGACCUUAAAGAGGACUGUUGUGCA
rnacentral:lncRNA from 1 species